AGAGCGAACGCUGGCGGCAGGCCUAACACAUGCAAGUCGAGCGCCCGUAGCAAUACGGGAGCGGCAGACGGGAUAGUAACACGUGGGAACGCGCCCUUCGGUUCGGAAUAACUCAGGGAAACUUGAGCUAAUACCGAAUACGCCCUUACGGGGAAAGAUUUAUUGCCGAAGGAACGGCCCGCGUCCGAUUAGCUAGUUGGUGAGGUAAUGGCUCACCAAGGCUACGAUCGGUAGCUGGUCUGAGAGGAUGACCAGCAUCACUGGGACUGAGACACGGCCCAGACUCCUACGGGAGGCAGCAGUGGGGAAUAUGGACAAUGGGCGCAAGCCUGAUCCAGCCAUGCCGCGUGGAUGAUGAAGGCCUUAGGGUUGUAAAGUCCUUUUAACGGGGAAGAUAAUGACGGUACCCGUAGAAUAAGCCCCGGCUAACUUCGCGCCAGCAGCCGC
rnacentral:rRNA from 1 species